rnacentral:rRNA from 1 species
UACGUAGGGGGCAAGCGUUAUCCGGAUUUACUGGGUGUAAAGGGAGCGCAGGCGGCUUUGCAAGUCUGAUGUGAAAGGCCGGGGCUCAACCCCGGGACUGCAUUGGAAACUGUAAAGCUAGAGUGCCGGAGAGGUAAGCGGAAUUCCUAGUGUAGCGGUGAAAUGCGUAGAUAUUAGGAGGAACACCAGUGGCGAAGGCGGCUUACUGGACGGCAACUGACGCUGAGGCUCGAAAGCGUGGGGAGCAAACAGG